UGGCGGCAGGCUUACACAUGCAAGUCGAACGGUAGCAGGAAGAAGCUUGCUUCUUUGCUGACGAGUGGCGGACGGGUGAGUAAUGCUUGGGAAUCUGGCUUAUGGAGGGGGAUAACUACUGGAGACGGUAGCUAAUACCGCGUAAUGUCCACGGACUAAAGGGUGGGACCAUUUGGCCACCUGCCAUAAGAUGAGCCCAAGUGGGAUUAGGUAGUUGGUGAGGUAACGGCUCACCAAGCCCGCGAUCUCUAGCUGGUCUGAGAGGAUGACCUGCCACACUGGAACUGAGACGCGGUCCAGACUCCUACGGGAGGCAGCAGUGGGGAAUAUUGCACAAUGGGGGGAACCCUGAUGCAGCCAUGCCGCGUGAAUGAAGAAGGCCUUCGGGUUGUAAAGUUCUUUCGGUGACGAGGAAGGCGAUUGUUUUAAUAGAACAAUCGAUUGACGUUAAUCACAGAAGAAGCACCGGCUAACUCCAUGCCAGCAGCCGCGGUAAU
rnacentral:rRNA from 1 species